AAAACUAAACAAAAAAUUUAUAUUACAUCUCGAAUCAAUUUUCCAAUUCAAAGCAAAUAAGGUGAGAAAUAAAAAAGAGUUAGAUAAGGUGAGAAAUACUGGAAAAUAAAUAAAUAAAUAAAGCUGGUUUUCUAGAUAUGCUAAGGACUGAUAUGGGACCUCAAUCUUGAGCCAUAUCUCUAGUGAGGUAUAAAUCUAGAGAACAAUGAAGAAAUCUCAUCAAUGUGAAAAGACUAAAUAGAUCAACUUGCAGAGUUAAUGCAAGUCAUGUUUCAAUGCAAGCGUAAAGUAGCGUUAACUGCAGGACACAAAUCUCCAUACUGGUUGGAAAACAA